rnacentral:lncRNA from 1 species
GCAGCCCCCGCGCUCCCCAAUAAAGGAUGCACCCACCGAGCCCGAGGACUGAAACAUUGUUUAGGGGACCCCGGGCACUGAAGCGCGGGUUCCUGGAGAUGGACAUUUGGAGUGCAGUGCCAGGGGCUAGGGAGGAUUCCGGCGUAUACGUGGUGUGAAAGUCAGUCUUUGAAUGUAGAGCAGAUCAAUGUGGAAUGAGGACUGAAAGGUCUGUCAACUGAAAAAAAAACAAGAAUGAAUAUAAAAAAUCACAAAUUAAACCAUUGUCCAUCCAUAUUAAUAGACAUUACUCAGUGAUUAUACAAUAUAAGCUUAUGGGAGCAAGGGAGUUCCUGAAUAUCCUUGCUGACUGUGCCGAAAUGCAAGACCUACCUACCCUCUAACUCUGAGCCACU